rnacentral:rRNA from 1 species
CUUCCAGGGACGAACCGCUGCCCGGCCGUGCUUAACACAUGCAAGUCGAACGGGGUCCAUCGGUAGCUUGCUUACUGAGAAGACCUAGUGGCGAACGGGUGAGUAACGCGUGGGCAACCUUACCCCGAAGUUGGGGAUAACUGGUGGAAACACCAGCUAAUACCGAAUAUCGUUUCUUGAUCGCAUGAUCGAAAAACGAAAACUCCGGUGCUUCGGGAUGGGCCCGCGUCCCAUUAGCUUGUUGGUAGGGUAACGGCCUACCAAGGCGACGAUGGGUAGCCGGCCUGAGAGGGUGAUCGGCCACACUGGGACUGAGACACGGCCCAGACUCCUACGGGAGGCAGCAGUGGGGAAUAUUGCGCAAUGGGCGAAAGCUUGACGCAGCAACGCCGCGUGGGGGAUGAAGGUUUUCGGAUUGUAAACUCCUUUCAGUGGGGACGAAGGCCGCAAGGUGACGGUACCCGCAGAAGAAGCCCCGGCUAACUACGUGCCAGCAGCCGCGGUAAUACGUAGGGGGCAAGCGUUGUCCGGAAUUAUUGGGCGUAAAGCGCGCGUAGGCGGCCUUCCAAGUCAGAUGUGAAAUCCCUCGGCUCAACCGAGGACCUGCAUUUGAAACUGGUUGGCUAGAGUUCAGGAGAGGGAAGUGGAAUUCCUAGUGUAGCGGUGAAAUGCGCAGAUAUUAGGAAGAACACCGGUGGCGAAGGCGGCUUCCUGGACUGUAACUGACGCUGAGGUGCGAAAGCUGGGGGAGCAAACAGGAUUAGAUACCCUGGUAGUCCUAGCCGUAAACGAUGGGCACUAGGUGUAGGGGGUUAUCAACUCCCCCUGUGCCGUUAGCUAACGCAUUAAGUGCCCCGCCUGGGGAAUACGGCCGCAAAGCUAAAACUCAAAGGAAUUGACGGG